rnacentral:tRNA from 1 species
CGGGGCGUAGCGCAGCCUGGUUAGCGCACUGGUCUGGGGGACCAGGGGUCGGAGGUUCAAAUCCUCUCGCCCCGA